rnacentral:rRNA from 1 species
UACGUAGGCAGCAAGCGUUGUUCGGAGUUACUGGGCGUAAAGGGCGCGUAGGUGGCGGGACAAGCGUGCGGUGAAAGCCUGGGGCUCAACCCCGGGUCGGCCGUGCGAACUGUUUUGCUUGAGCACUGUAGAGGCAGGCGGAAUUCCGGGUGUAGCGGUGGAAUGCGUAGAGAUCCGGAAGAACACCGGUGGCGAAGGCGGCCUGCUGGGCAGUAGCUGACACUGAGGCGCGACAGCGUGGGGAGCAAACAGG